rnacentral:rRNA from 1 species
UACGAGGGGGGCGAGCGUUGUUCGGAAUUAUUGGGCGUAAAGGGUGCGUAGGCGGUUUGGUAAGUCUCUUGUGAAAUCUAUGGGCUCAACUCAUAGUCUGCAAGGGAAACUGCCGGGCUUGAGUGUGGGAGAGGUGAGUGGAAUUUCCGGUGUAGCGGUGAAAUGCGUAGAUAUCGGAAGGAACACCUGUGGCGAAAGCGGCUCACUGGACCACAACUGACGCUGAUGCACGAAAGCUAGGGGAGCGAACGGG